UACAGUUCCUGCUAAAUGAGCUAACUCAAGCGCUAAAUUAUAGCACAUAAUUUAAGACAAAGUUUUAGGCUUAUAUUUAGAACUUUGAAAAUACAAUUUUUUUACGAGUUAAUUAAGUAAAAUAUAGAAGAGUUUAGCACAUACAUAUAUUCCAUUAUGAUCUUAUUCUCAACUAGUUUUGGUCGGCUGGUAUUUUAUGUAAACCAUUCUAUUUUACAUCCGGUUGACGAACAUGUUGAAGGAGAAGUAUUCGAACUCGCAACCGUAGAUUACGAGUUGAGCGCUAUAACCAAACCCGCUUUAGGAUGUAACAUCUUUUAAUUACAUCUCUAUAUGUACUAUAAAAAUUAGUUUGGCACACCUUUAUCUAGAGAGAAGAAAAGCUGAAGUUCUAUUCACUGAUCCAAUAUGGGCAAUCAUCUACUUGUCUACACAAGUUAUCAUAAAGAAUAGAGCCACUAGUGGAUUGUCUCGACAUGGAGAGAAUUUCAGUGAUAAGACAACGAGUUACAACAAAGUACAAGAGAUCAUCCUAUCUGUAUACCACAUCCAAGGAAAUGAAAACCACGAAAAGGAUCUGAAUUUAUAGUUUAGAGCCAGUAAAUGAGAUAACAGAGAAUAUUUUUUUAACUUAUCUGUAA